rnacentral:lncRNA from 1 species
AUGUUCAGUGGGCAGAGCCUUAGUGCUUUGGAAGGUGUCAAGGCAGCAGGGUCAAUGCCAGGCAUGUGUGCAGGAGCUAACUCAGCUCUGGCCUCACUCUGUCUUUCCAAGAAGGCGGCUCUUCAUGCUCAGUGUUGUUGCAAAGCCAAGUGGGUACCAUUCUGUCUUGGGAGGGCUUGUUUUUCAAGCAUAAUUGGGCAUAGUGGGACCAUCGCCAUAUGUGGUCUCCAACCCUUCAUCCAAGGAUGGGGAGGGGACAUCCACCGUGCUGUUAGAAGUCGGUGGAGUCCUAGGAUCAGGCCUUUGGCUGCACAUCAUCACAUAUCCACUGAACAGAGACCUAGAAGAAUAAGAGUGUACCUGAUUUUGUCUGUGGAUUCCAGACCAGGACCCUCUUGAAUGUUGGGGUGCAACCUCUGAAAGGGAAACUUGACCAGGACUGCCUUGAGGGUGAUGGGGGAACGACAUGUUUUUAUUUCAAUUUAAUUAAAUGUAUUUAUUUGAUAUAGCAUCACAGGUUGGCCUCCAACUCUAUGCAGAUGAGAUGACCUUGAACUUCUGACCUUCCCACCUUCACCUCCCAAAUGCUAGGACUACAGGUAUGUGCUACCCUACCCUACCAGAUCUGGUUUUAUGUGAUGAUACUUUAUCAAAUCCAGGGCCCCAUAAAUGCUAGUAAGUAAUCUAUCAGCUGAGCCAUACCGCUAGCCCUGGUUCAGAUUUUAAGGUAUUCCUCUGGCUGAUAAUGGCCCUAAGAGAGAAAGUUGUGGAUAUGCAGGAGAAAGGCCCCAAAUCUGGCUGGGACACUGGGGUGUUUCUAGACCUCUUCGGACCUCCUCAGCUUUCUUUUGAAUUCCAACUCAUUGGGUAUGGCCUAGAUUUUGGAUUGAAGAUCCAUCCAGGCUACCUCCCUGGCUCUCCUACUCUCAGCUUGGCAAGUCUCCCUCCCCUCCCCUCCCCUCCUACAAGACUGAUUUAAACCUUAAUCUGAGGACAAGUUUGUACAAAGCUCUAGCUUGCUGUCAGAGGAGCAGGUACCAACCUAGAUGGAGGGAUAAGAACUUGGAGAGGGAAGGACUAGGGAGGGGCGUGGUUUGUUUGAGACAGAGAAGAGAUCUCACACUCUGCCCUCCUGGCUUGAGAAUCCUCAGAACAACUUGGGGACUUUGUUCCUGACAGCCAGUAGAAUAUUCAUACAUCUACUGCCUACUGUGUGUCACUCCUGUCUACCAGCCAUACUGGUCAUAGCUGACUGCAAGGAGGCUCUCUGAGGCUCACAAAGCCCUCCUGACCAUCGAUCAAAAUAGCCCACAACAAUCAUGCAUGCAUAUAGUGUGCGUACAUGUGGAUAAAGCAGUCAUAUGCAUAGAAUAAAAGUUUAAAAGAAAGGAACA